ACCUGGCUGGCUCAGUUGCUAACGCAUGCAACUCUUGAUUUCAAGAGUUGUGAGUUCAAGUCUCACGUUGGGUG
rnacentral:tRNA from 1 species